rnacentral:rRNA from 1 species
UUAAAGCGGUACGCGAGCUGGGUUCAGAACGUCGUGAGACAGUUCGGUCUCCUAUCUGUCAUGGGCGUUGGAUGUUUGACCAGAGAUUCUUCUCUAGUACGAGAGGACCGAGAAGAACGAACCUCUAGUGUACGAGCUGUCUGACCACAGGCAUAAGCUCGGUAGCUACGUUCGGCCAGGAUAAACGCUGAAAGCAUCUAAGCGUGAAGCCUCCUCCAAGAUAAGACAUCAUAGAUUCCAAGGAGAUUACUUGGUUGAUAGGCUCCAGGUGUAAGGCCCGUAAGGGUUUCAGCCGAGGAGUACUAAUAAAUCGUUUCCCGAUUUA